UAAUAACUUCAAAGCCUUAGUCAUAAUAAACUCUUAAAAAUUAUAAUAUGAAUCUUGAAUAUAAAAUAAAUACUUCAAUAAUUUAAAUGUUUCAAAUGAACUUGUAUUAACCUACUAAAGCAUUUGUUAUUUUUAUUAUAAUUAAAUAGGAAUAAUUUGUUGUUAACUUCUUCCAAAAGAAAAUUCUAGAUGGGUUCCGAAUCUUCAUUUUGAUAUGGAAUUGGCGAUUUGCUUUAGUUUGGAGAUUGUAAUAUAAAUAUAUACAUAACUUAUUAAAAAAAAAAUAGUAUUAAAUCUUAUUUUUUCCCAUUUCUUCACUUUGUAUGCUGUACUCCAUUAAUACAUACAUUGGUCAGACAGCAAGCCAAAAAUUCCUAAUUUUUACAUUCUACAAUAAUACUAUCCUAGGAAUCAUAUUGGAUAAAUUUGUAAGCUACUUAAUUUAUUCAAGAGUAAAUGCUUUAAAUUCCAUUGUAUUGAAACAUAAUACAGGUAAUCUUCAACUUAUGACCUCAGGGUUUGAACUGAACCUCUUAAGUUAGUGAUUGGAAAUGUCCUAAAGUUAUGGAUUGCCCACUACGGAUAUUUUAUUAUUUAACUGUGUAUUAUCAUAACAAACUUAAUGAACAAUAAAAAACAAACCAAACACAAAAAGAAGCUUUUGAUAGAUAUUAUGCAUGUGAAUUGCAUUCAUCAGUUGCAGAGUUUGCAGAUUUGCAUCGCGGGAACUAUCUGUGUUUUGCACAUGCAAUGUAUUUGCAUGAUUUUAAUUUAUACAAAUGUUCAUGUCUAUCCACACUAAAAUAAGACUGAGCUAACUUACUGUUC
rnacentral:lncRNA from 1 species